GAUGAACGCUGGCGGCGUGCCCAAUACAUGCACGUCGAGCGAACAGACGAGGAGCUUGCUCCUCUGACGUUAGCGGCGGACGGGUGAGUAACACGUGGAUAACCUACCUAUAAGACUGGGAUAACUUCGGGAAACCGGAGCUAAUACCGGAUAAUAUAUUGAACCGCAUGGUUCAAUAGUGAAAGACGGUUUUGCUGUCACGUAUAGAUGGAUCCGCGCCGCAUUAGCUAGUUGGUAAGGUAACGGCUUACCAAGGCAACGAUGCGUAGCCGACCUGAGAGGGUGAUCGGCCACACUGGAACUGAGACACGGUCCAGACUCCUACGGGAGGCAGCAGUAGGGAAUCUUCCGCAAUGGGCGAAAGCCUGACGGAGCAACGCCGCGUGAGUGAUGAAGGUCUUCGGAUCGUAAAACUCUGUUAUUAGGGAAGAACAAAUGUGUAAGUAACUAUGCACGUCUUGACGGUACCUAAUCAGAAAGCCACGGCUAACUACGUG
rnacentral:rRNA from 1 species